rnacentral:tRNA from 1 species
GGGCGAUUGGCGCAGUUGGUUAGCGCGCGUCGUUGACAUCGACGAGGUCAUGUGUUCGAGUCACAUAUCGCCCACCA